rnacentral:rRNA from 2 species
UUGGAGAGUUUGAUCCUGGCUCAGGACGAACGCUGGCGGCGUGCCUAAUACAUGCAAGUCGAGCGGACAGAUGGGAGCUUGCUCCCUGAUGUUAGCGGCGGACGGGUGAGUAACACGUGGGUAACCUGCCUGUAAGACUGGGAUAACUCCGGGAAACCGGGGCUAAUACCGGAUGCUUGAUUGAACCGCAUGGUUCAAUUAUAAAAGGUGGCUUUUAGCUACCACUUACAGAUGGACCCGCGGCGCAUUAGCUAGUUGGUGAGGUAACGGCUCACCAAGGCAACGAUGCGUAGCCGACCUGAGAGGGUGAUCGGCCACACUGGGACUGAGACACGGCCCAGACUCCUACGGGAGGCAGCAGUAGGGAAUCUUCCGCAAUGGACGAAAGUCUGACGGAGCAACGCCGCGUGAGUGAUGAAGGUUUUCGGAUCGUAAAACUCUGUUGUUAGGGAAGAACAAGUACCGUUCGAAUAGGGCGGUACCUUGACGGUACCUAACCAGAAAGCCACGGGCUACUCUACGUGCCAGCAGCCGCGGUAAUA